GAGCGGGUGUCUAAGCAAAUUGGGUCGGCCUUAUCUCCAGAUCGAGAAGAUAACCCAUUCUCUUUUCUUUUCUAUUCAUUCUUCUUCUUUCUUCUUUCCCCUUCUUCUCAGUUCUUCUUCUGCGAGUGUUUCAGAGAAAACUAGAGAUUUUGAUUGAGAGAAUCAAUCUAUGAUGAAUAUCGUAUGAAGUAGAACUUUCUGCUGGUGUUGAUAAAGAGUUGAGAGUUGUACUGAUAUUUUAGGGAGCAGAUUUAGGGUUUUGAAGAUGAAUUGGAGAAUCAAAGAGCUGGGGUUUCUGUGAAUUGAAUCCGAGUCCUUAGGUGAACUGAGAGGUGAUUUGGGUCGCUGCUGGUGGAAUAACAAAAAGGGUUGAGGUUUAAUUGAAGUUCUGAAGUUGUUUUAGAGAGGACUCAAAGAAUUCGGGUUUAUAAGAAAUUCAGAAUAUGAGUUUGAAGAUGAAAUUGAGGUUUUAAAGAGGAGAUUUAAGAUGGGUUUUCAUCAGGUAUGAAGUAGUAAUGGUUGCAUGGGUUUAAUUUGGAUUUCAGUUCCUCAUGUUCUUUCCCAAAUUAGAAUUAGGGUUCUGAAUUUAUUGGAAAUUAGAGUGGAGUUGAUUAAGGGGGAAUUGAAGGCUGGGUAUGGUUGAUAUGAGAAGUUAGAGUUAUCUUUUAAACUCAGAAUUAGAAAAUACAGGAUUUGAGGAUUGUUUUGGGAUUUUGCUGAGAACCGGUGAUGAGGUUGAUCAAGGAUGGGUGUUUGGAGAUUGAUGAAUUUAAGGCUGCAGCAGUUGGAGUUGAUGAAGCAACAGUUCAGGGGAGGCUAAUAUCUGAGUAAGUCCUAUGUUGCUUGAUUACAAUAAUUGAAAUUGAAUUAUGCAUAAUCUGAUAUAGAUGAAGAAUAUGAUGAGUUUUAAGGAAUGUGAUAAUGUUAUUGUUGGUAUGGGUUGGAUGAAUGAGUGAUUACAGGAUUUGAACUAUAGGGAAUUAGUUUAUGUUGUAUUGAUGUAUGUGAAAUUUGGAUAUUGAACAGUAAUUUGAAGAAUGGUGUUGAGUUGACUAAACUGAAGUAAGUGUUUAAUGGAUAAUUAGAAGUUGGAGUUGUUGGUUCUGAGAAAGAAUAGUUGCAAUGAUGUACCAUGAAGACUUGAGUUUUGAGAUAAUGAUACAGAUGGGUAUAGUGGUGUGUGUUGUCUGUGCAGAAUUAUAAAGUUAUGGAGUGCAGGUAGGGGCUGUGUAAUGGAUCUGAGUUAGGUUGUUGUAGUUUAGAAGUUGAAGAGUUCAGUUUGGCUGAAGGGUGAGAAUGGAUUAGAGACUGUUGGGUUGAGUUAUAAGUUGAAAUGGUGCUGCUGAAGUUACAGGGGAUAUGAGUGGCUGGUGGAGGUAUAGAAACUAGGUGCUGGUGUUGUUAAGAUUAGAGGAGAUACAAGUAAUGGUUUUGUAAAAUAAAUGGGACUGAAGUUGGAGACUAGUAUGUGGAUGAUUUCAGACAAGAGUGUGUAUUGGAAAGUUGCUAGAGGUGAACAAGGAUGUUAGAAACCUAGAUUUGAGAUGAGAAGAUACACAAUGGGGAAUGAAGUAUGAAAUCUGUUUGAGGUUGAAUUGUUAGUUAGACCUGCAGGUGACUAUAGUUGAGUUUGGUGUUGAUUGUUGUUGGUGUUUGAUGUAAAGCUUGGAACUGCUGAACUGCAGUUAGUCUGUAUUAACAACGAUCGAUUCAAAGGAUGAACCAGUGGAUCAUGGAUCUCGAGGUAGGCGUGGCUUGUCAUCAAAAGAGUUUCAGAGACAGACCAGAGUUGCGCGGCGGAUGCGUCGAAGUGUUGAGUUCGGUAGUUGGUUAACUUCUGUUAUGUUUACUACGUUGUAUAUUCUGUUUAUAAACCAAAUGACUAUUAUAUAUAUAUAUCAUUUGAGAGGAGUUCUUGUAUAUAUAUUUCAGAGAGGGGCUAGUUAUGUGGUUAAGUUUUGUAACAGAUUUCUAAACUGAAGGUUUAACUAAAGGAUUUAGAUUUUUAGUGCCUCUUCAUUUA